rnacentral:rRNA from 1 species
UACGUAGGGGGCAAGCGUUGUCCGGAUUUAUUGGGCGUAAAGAGCGUGUAGGCGGCUUUACAGGUCCGUUGUGAAAACUCGAGGCUCAACCUCGAGACGCCGGUGGAAACCGUAAAGCUAGAGUCCGGAAGAGGAGAGUGGAAUUCCUGGUGUAGCGGUGAAAUGCGCAGAUAUCAGGAGGAACACCGAUGGCGAAGGCAGGUCUCUGGGCAUUAACUGACGCUGAGGAGCGAAAGCAUGGGGGAGCGAACAGG